rnacentral:rRNA from 1 species
AUUGAACGCUGGCGGCAGGCCUAACACAUGCAAGUCGAGCGAGCGGCGGACGGGUGAGUAAUGUAUGGGGAACUGCCCGAUAGAGGGGGAUAACUACUGGAAACGGUGGCUAAUACCGCAUACUAUCGGAUGAACCCAUAUGGGAUUAGCUGGUAGGUGGGGUAAAGGCUCACCAAGGCGAAGAUCCCUAGCUGGUCUGAGAGGAUGACCAGCCACACUGGAACUGAGACACGGUCCAGACUCCUACGGGAGGCAGCAGGGGGGAAUCUUUGGCAAUGGGCGAAAGUCUGACCCAGCAAUGCCGCGUGAGUGAAGAAGUUUUUCGGAUCGUAAAACUCUGUUAGUAGAGAGGCGUUACCUAAACAGGAAGCCACGGCUAACUCCGUGCCAGCAGCCGCGGUAAUAC